GACGAACGCUGGCGGCGUGCUUAACACAUGCAAGUCGAACGGAAAGGCCCUGCUUUUGUGGGUUGCUCGAGUGGCGAACGGGUGAGUAACACGUGAGUAACCUGCCCUUGACUUUGGGAUAACUUCAGGAAACUGGGGCUCUUACCGGAUAGGAUCUCCUGCUGCAUGGUGGGGGUUGGAAAGUUUCGGCGGUUGGGGAUGGACUCGCGGCUUAUCAGCUUGUUUGUGUGGUAGUGGCUUACCAAGGCUUUGACGGGUAGCCGGCCUGAGAGGGGGACCGGCCACAAUGGGACUGAGAGACGGCGCAGACGCGUAUGGGAGGCAGUAGUGGAGAAUAUGGCAGAAUGGGAGGAAGCGAGAUGCAGAAACGCAGCGAGCGGGAUGACGGCCUUCGGGUGGUAAACCGAUUUGGCCUGUGACGAAGCGUGAGUGACGGUAAUGGGUAAAGAAGCACCGGCUAACUACGUG
rnacentral:rRNA from 1 species